AGAGUUUGAUCAUGGCUCAGAUUGAACGCUGGCGGCAUGCCUUACACAUGCAAGUCGAACGGCAGCACGGGUGCUUGCACCUGGUGGCGAGUGGCGAACGGGUGAGUAAUAUAUCGGAACGUACCCUAGAGUGGGGGAUAACGUAGCGAAAGUUACGCUAAUACCGCAUACGAUCUACGGAUGAAAGUGGGGGAUCGCAAGACCUCAUGCUCAUGGAGCGGCCGAUAUCUGAUUAGCUAGUUGGUGGGGUAAAAGCCUACCAAGGCGACGAUCAGUAGCUGGUCUGAGAGGACGACCAGCCACACUGGAACUGAGACACGGUCCAGACUCCUACGGGAGGCAGCAGUGGGGAAUUUUGGACAAUGGGGGCAACCCUGAUCCAGCAAUGCCGCGUGAGUGAAGAAGGCCUUCGGGUUGUAAAGCUCUUUUGUCAGGGAAGAAACGGGAUUUUCUAAUACAAAGUCCUAAUGACGGUACCUGAAGAAUAAGCACCGGCUAACUACGUGCCAGCAGCCGCGGUAAUACGUAGGGUGCAAGCGUUAAUCGGAAUUACUGGGCGUAAAGCGUGCGCAGGCGGUUGUGCAAGACAGAUGUGAAAUCCCCGGGCUCAACCUGGGAAUUGCAUUUGUGACUGCACGGCUAGAGUGUGUCAGAGGGGGGUAGAAUUCCACGUGUAGCAGUGAAAUGCGUAGAGAUGUGGAGGAAUACCGAUGGCGAAGGCAGCCCCCUGGGAUAACACUGACGCUCAUGCACGAAAGCGUGGGGAGCAAACAGGAUUAGAUACCCUGGUAGUCCACGCCCUAAACGAUGUCUACUAGUUGUCGGGUCUUAAUUGACUUGGUAACGCAGCUAACGCGUGAAGUAGACCGCCUGGGGAGUACGGUCGCAAGAUUAAAACUCAAAGGAAUUGACGGGGACCCGCACAAGCGGUGGAUGAUGUGGAUUAAUUCGAUGCAACGCGAAAAACCUUACCUACCCUUGACAUGUACGGAACUUACCAGAGAUGGUUUGGUGCUCGAAAGAGAACCGUAACACAGGUGCUGCAUGGCUGUCGUCAGCUCGUGUCGUGAGAUGUUGGGUUAAGUCCCGCAACGAGCGCAACCCUUGUCAUUAGUUGCUACGAAAGGGCACUCUAAUGAGACUGCCGGUGACAAACCGGAGGAAGGUGGGGAUGACGUCAAGUCCUCAUGGCCCUUAUGGGUAGGGCUUCACACGUCAUACAAUGGUACAUACAGAGGGCCGCCAACCCGCGAGGGGGAGCUAAUCCCAGAAAGUGUAUCGUAGUCCGGAUUGUAGUCUGCAACUCGACUACAUGAAGUUGGAAUCGCUAGUAAUCGCGGAUCAGCAUGUCGCGGUGAAUACGUUCCCGGGUCUUGUACACACCGCCCGUCACACCAUGAGAGCGGGUUUCACCAGAAGUAGGUAGCCUAACCGCAAGGAGGGCGCUUACCACGGUGGGAUUCGUGACUGGGGUGAAGUCGUAACAAGGUA
rnacentral:rRNA from 1 species